UUCUGGAUAAAUCUUUCAAGUGCCUCUAUAUCAUGAAAUCCCAAAAGUGCUUAUAUGGGGAAUGCGUCUUUAAUGCUCUGAAAUCCCCAAAUUCAGGCUAUACGUUUUCAUCUACCAGCUGAAAACGUCAGGAAUAGAAUCCGAUGCCUUUACCCAUGGGUUAUUUUGCUUUGGACGUGUCUACCUGUUGCAAGGAAAAGUGAACAUUUCUUUGGUAAUAUUUCAGAUUGCAGAUGCAGCAAUGAGAUGCAAAGUUGUAUGCCAGGAUCUCAAGAUUUCCAAAGCAAGGAGCUCAGGAGGAUGAACAGCUCUCAGGAAACGGUCAACAGCUCUCAGGGUGCAAUUCUAAAGGUCAUUUGUUAUCACAUCUGUUACUGUCAAGGCGUCCUCUCUGAGGCAAAGCACAUCUGAGAGGCUGGAAACCCUGGGAGGUUCUAUGGUAGGAUUUUUCUCUCACAUGCUGUAUGAUGAGACUGAAAAGAGCACAUUCAUCUGUGGAGUUCUCCCAGUGUCAGGGAAAAAUGUCAGAAACCUUUUCCCUCUGCCAUGUUUCACUGGGACCUUCAUUUCACAGAUAGUGUCUGGACUUUUAAGUGCAAAACCUACCACCCAGUUAAUAUUAGGAUUGAUUUCCACUGAAUCUCUUGGGGAAGAGUAAAUCUGGAGAUCAUAAUUUGGCAGAAAGUCCAAGAUUUCUUGACUGUGGCUAUGAAGAACAGGGAGGGAGAAAGGGAGAAUGCCAGGGUUGAAUGAUCUCUUCAUUUUGCUCUUGUUGGAACUUCCCAAUGCUGAAAGCUGUUCACACCAUGGAAUUUACGGAGCUGAUGAAGCUGGGCAAGUCAUGCCUCUCAGGCUUGAAGGUAGAGUCCUGCUUUGUGCUUCCCGUCAUCCACCCACACCACUAGGAUCACCAUGCCACAUUCUACUGGAAAAAUGACAGAAGGAUUUUGCAUAUAGAAAUGAAGUCAAGCAUGCAUUUUAUGGCAGUAAUCUAAUUAUUUACAUUAAUAUAGUAGCAGUACAUUACAACUCUCUGAGGAAAAAAAAAAAGGCAAAAUUUAGAAUAUCCCGUUCUCUACCCAAAAGUGUUAUCUAGUCCAGUUUUUAAAUAGCCUGUGAGCAUAGUAAAAUACCUAAUUAACUUAAGAAGAGUUGUUACAUCAGGUAGAGAAUAUGUAUUUUAAAAUGUAAUCACAUACCAGAGUAUUUGUUCACUUAAUCUGUCAUUUACAGGACAACAUAUUAGACUAAUAUUAUGUGCUGAAGUAUCCCCUAGCACAAGCUGGUAAAGCCCUGUUGGGAUCUAUGUAGCUGUGUCAAUUACACCAGUGAAUAACAGUUUUGUAUUUUGUUUUAUAUUUAAUGGAUAGACAAAUUAACUAAACUAUGAUGUGUCUGUGUUCAUAUUUUGGAAAAGAAAUUGUUUGUGUAACUUGAAGAAAGUGAAAAUACAGUAGCCUAAAGCAUAAACCAUUUUUAAGCAUAAACCAUUUUUAAGCAUAAAUGAAUUCAGAUUCUUUACACAUUCUAAGAUCUCACUUAAUUUUUAACAUAUAUAUUGCUCUACAAAGGCGAAAUGUGGUAUUCUGUGGAAGAGGCUUUUGUCCUUGUCUGCAAAGAAGAGGUGUUUCAGAACUGUUCCACAUUGUAUUUUACAUGGCAGACAGAGGAUAAAACCCGGUGAAUUCUGCAUCUGUCACUAUUCUGCAUCUGUCACUCAAAGAAAAUUCCCCUUUCCCUUUUUGGGAAAGUUGCCUAAGGAUGAUGGGAUAUGGCUGAUAACAAUAAUCCAUAUUUAGGCAACCAGAAGAUUGUGACAACAUUAGACAGAGUAAGGGAAUGCAGACUUCAAAACAUCUGUUAUGGUAACUUUAAUUUACCCUAUUAUUUCUAGAGGCUGCAGUGUCAUAACUUAAAUUCCUUCAUUGUCUUGCCAUAAAAAUAUACAUCUAGCCUUGAAAUUCAGCACUAACUUUAAUUUGGUUUAGACUCCAUAUCAUAAAAUUAAUAUUAAUGAAGCAUUGCAGUUCAUCUUUGUAUUGGGUUUGCAUGGCAAGGUUUUGGUAGCGGGGGGCUACAGGGGUGGCUUCUGUGAGAAGCUUCCAGAGUCUUACCCCAUGUCUGAUGGAGACAACACCAGCCAGCUCCAAGGCGCACCUGCUGCUGGCCAAGGCUGAUCCCAUCAGCGAUGGUGGUCAUGCCUCAGGGAUAACAUAGUUAAGAAUGUGGGAAAAGAAAAUGCACAAUUGCAGCCAGAGAGGAGUGAGAACAUGGGAGAGGAACAGCUCUGCAGACACCAAGGUCAGUGCAGAAGGAGGGGAGGAAGUGCUCCAGGCGCUGGAGCAGAGAGUCCCCUGCAGUGCGUGGUGCAGACCAUGGUGAGGCAGGCUAAGCCCCUGCAGCCCAUGGAGAUCCAGGGUGGAGAUCUCCACCUGCAGCCAUGGAGGUCCACAGUGGAGAAGAUUUCCACCUGCAGCCCAGGAAGGACCCCACGCUGGAGCAGGUGUGUGCCAAAGGAGGGUCUGACCACAUGAGAAGCCCACACUGGAGCAGGUUUGCUGCAGGACUUGUCACCUCACAGGGGACCUACGAUGGAGCAGCCUGUUCCUGAGGGACUGCACCCAUGGAAGGGACCCACGUGGGAAGCAGAGGCAACGUUGUGAUGAACUGACCACAGGCCCAUUCCCCGUCCCCCUGCGUCACUGUGGGGAGGAGGUAGAGAAUUCAGGACUAAAGUUGAGCCCAGUAAGAAGCGAAGGGUGAGGGGAAGGUGUUCCUUCCCUGGAAGGCGAAUUUGGGUUCGCUGCUCAUGCUCCAGUCUGGUCAGUAAUAAAUUAAAUUGUAUUUUUACCCCAGGUCUGUUUUGCCCAUGAUGGUAAUCGCUGAGUGAUCUCUCCCUGUCCUUACCUCAACCCAUAAGCUUUUUGUUAUAUUUUUUCUCCCCUGUCCAUUUGAGGAGGGGCAGUGAUAGAGCAGCUUUGAUGGGCACCUGGCAUACAGCCAGACUCAACCUCUACAAUCUUUAGACACUAAUAGUACAAGUAAGUGAUCUUCUACUUGAUAGAUUGCAAAAUGUGUUGUAUUUUAUCCCUGAUUAUGAGAAUAAUUUGAUUAGCCUCAGCAUAGCUAUUAAAUAGUUACAGAGAGAUUGAUUGUAGUGGUAUGAAAGAUUUCACCAUCAAUAUUUCUACAAGAGAGAUUCAGAACAUAAACAGAUUUCAUGGCUGUUCUUAACUGGAAUAUCUGAAUAUAUGCCUUUCCUUCCCUAUAAACCAGGCACAUCAGCUUGCCAUAGAAAUUUCUGUCAAAACAGAGAUUCCUUUGAUUUUCCAGUGCUUCAUAUCACAACAUGUUCCUGUAGCAUUAACACUAUAGCAAUGAGGACUUGGUUGCAUAAAUCACAGGAGACAAAUGCCCAGAAUAAUAUACUAUAAUGAAUAAAAAGAGGUGCAGUACAUGAUGACCCUGAUCCUGUUGUGUGACAGAUCUGAGUCAGAAGAUUUCAUUCAGUUAUUUCAGGGAGGAUCAGUCCCAUCACAUGUGGUAGGAAAUGUUGAUUUAAUUCUGAUUCCUCCCUCUUUCUACCAUUCAGUCUUCAAAUUAUGGGUAAGACCCAGUGCUGGUAAACUACAGCUGCUGCAUAGCCUGAAUUUAGGAGUGUAUGCGGAGUCUGUGCUUAGGCUGCCAAAUCACAUUGCGCGUCCUCUGUUCAUUCACUGUGCCUGCUAGAAUAACUUGUUAUGAUACUGGACUUCCAAAGAAUAUAUUAACUUCCUGACUCUCUAUAGUAAUACCAUACAGCUGGUUCAAAUAAACAUUCCAAGCCAGUGCAUUUUUCAUCUUGGGAAAAAAAAAAGCAAGCAAUCCCAAAGAAGUUUUGUAUUUAUUCAGCGCUUACUGUCAUUGCCUUUGACACCAAGCACAAAAUUAAUAGUUUAAAAAAUUGGAGUUACUCUCUAGGCCUUUGCAUUGAUUCUCUUUUGUUGUUCUUAAUUUAUUUUGUUGACCACUGCAGUCAAAAAGAGAGGAAAAACUGCUCAUGGCAUUAAUUUUCUUGAGUUAUUGUGCUGUUCUGUCUCACUAUAAGUUUAUUGUUGUUUUUAUACUUCGGGUAAAAUGGAACUGCUUUUGUCUGAAGCAGAAUCUGUAUAAAGAAUUCAAAUUGUUCUUGAAUUUACCUUACUAUUUUAAAAUUUCUUUGACAUUGAUACAAAACCAUGACUAGGUAAGUUAUCCCCAUUGAACUUUUGCAUGCUAUUAAAAAUAUGUUACUUUGUUUCUUUAAUGAUUUCAUCGUCAGUUCAUUUAUUAAUAUUGCUGAAACAGUAUGAGUGAGAACCUUAGACAAAAUCAUAGUGUAAAUAAUGGAUCUUUUGGCUGUAUAAGGGCUGAAGGUUUCGUCAUGUUCGAUCACAAGUUUUAUAGUUAUAUUACUGUAGGUGCACUGAGUUUUGGCUUCAGAAAGGGUACACAUGAUUAAAUAAAGAUUUUGCUCCAAAUACUGCAAAUUGGUAACAUACAAAUUCCCACCAGAGAUAUAUCACAGGGUACAGGUCUUCCAUUUCUAUGUCAUACUGCCAUUUAUAUAGUAAUUUCCUAAUGAAAAUUGUUAGAUGUGCCAGGUUUCUGAGUUGGAUUCUUGUACUCUGAGCUGUAAUUGUGGAAAAACUUAUGGAUGGAAUUAUGGAAAUUAUGGAAAAUA